rnacentral:rRNA from 1 species
CUCAAAGGAAUUGACGGGGACCCGCACAAGCGGUGGAUGAUGUGGAUUAAUUCGAUGCAACGCGAAAAACCUUACCUACCCUUGACAUGUCUGGAAUGCCGAAGAGAUUUGGCAGUGCUCGCAAGAGAACCGGAACACAGGUGCUGCAUGGCUGUCGUCAGCUCGUGUCGUGAGAUGUUGGGUUAAGUCCCGCAACGAGCGCAACCCUUGUCAUUAGUUGCUACGCAAGAGCACUCUAAUGAGACUGCCGGUGACAAACCGGAGGAAGGUGGGGAUGACGUCAAGUCCUCAUGGCCCUUAUGGGUAGGGCUUCACACGUCAUACAAUGGUCGGGACAGAGGGUCGCCAACCCGCGAGGGGGAGCCAAUCUCAGAAACCCGAUCGUAGUCCGGAUCGCAGUCUGCAACUCGACUGCGUGAAGUCGGAAUCGCUAGUAAUCGCGGAUCAGAAUGUCGCGGUGAAUACGUUCCCGGGUCUUGUACACACCGCCCGUCACACCA